CAGCAGCCGCGGUAAUACGAAGGGUGCAAGCGUUAAUCGGAAUUACUGGGCGUAAAGCGUGCGCAGGCGGUUCGCUAAGACAGAUGUGAAAUCCCCGGGCUUAACCUGGGAACUGCAUUCGUGACUGGCGGGCUAGAGUAUGGCAGAGGGGGGUAGAAUUCCACGUGUAGCAGUGAAAUGCGUAGAGAUGUGGAGGAAUACCGAUGGCGAAGGCAGCCCCCUGGGCCAAUACUGACGCUCAUGCACGAAAGCGUGGGGAGCAAACAGGAUUAGAUACCCCUGUAGUCCCUGUCUCUUAUAC
rnacentral:rRNA from 1 species